UACGAAGGGGGCUAGCGUUGCUCGGAAUCACUGGGCGUAAAGGGCGCGUAGGCGGCCGGCCAAGUCGGGGGUGAAAGCCUGUGGCUCAACCACAGAAUGGCCCUCGAUACUGGCUGGCUCGAGACCGGAAGAGGUUGGUGGAAUUGCGAGUGUAGAGGUGAAAUUCGUAGAUAUUCGCAAGAACACCGGUGGCGAAGGCGGCCAACUGGACCACAACUGACGCUGAGGCGCGAAAGCGUGGGGAGCAAACAGG
rnacentral:rRNA from 1 species